GACGUAGGGCGCGAGCGUUGUCCGGAUUUAUUGGGCGUAAAGCGCGUGUAGGCGGCGGCGUAAGUCGAAUGUGAAAGCCCUUGGCUUAACCAAGGAAGUGCAUUCGAUACUGUGUUGCUUGAGUACCGGAGGGGAUGGCGGAAUUCCUGGUGUAGAGGUGAAAUUCGUAGAUAUCAGGAGGAACACCUGUGGCGAAGGCGGCCAUCUGGACGGUGACUGACGCUGAGACGCGAAAGCGUGGGUAGCAAACAGG
rnacentral:rRNA from 1 species